rnacentral:tRNA from 1 species
GCCGCUAUAGCUCAGUGGCUAGAGCGUUGGUCUCGUAAACCAAAGGUCGCGAGUUCGAAUCUCGUUGGCGCAAGUGCA